rnacentral:rRNA from 1 species
UAGGGAAUCUUCGGCAAUGGGGGCAACCCUGACCGAGCAACGCCGCGUGAGUGAAGAAGGUUUUCGGAUCGUAAAGCUCUGUUGUAAGAGAAGAACGUGUGUGAGAGUGGAAAGUUCACACAGUGACGGUAACUUACCAGAAAGGGACGGCUAACUACGUGCCAGCAGCCGCGGUAAUACGUAGGUCCCGAGCGUUGUCCGGAUUUAUUGGGCGUAAAGCGAGCGCAGGCGGUUUAAUAAGUCUGAAGUUAAAGGCAGUGGCUUAACCAUUGUUCGCUUUGGAAACUGUUAAACUUGAGUGCAGAAGGGGAGAGUGGAAUUCCAUGUGUGGCGGUGAAAUGCGUAGAUAUAUGGAGGAACACCGGUGGCGAAAGCGGCUCUCUGGUCUGUAACUGACGCUGAGGGUCGAAAGCGUGGGGAGCAAACAGG